rnacentral:rRNA from 1 species
GAUCCUGGCUCAGGAUGAACGCUGGCGGCGUGCCUAACACAUGCAAGUCGAGCGAGAAAUCUUGGAAUGAGACUUCGGUUAAGUGAAGAGAUGGAAAGCGGCGGACGGGUGAGUAACGCGUAGGCAACCUGCCUUAUGCAGAGGGAUAGCCAUUGGAAACGAUGAUUAAAACCUCAUAAAGCCAUUUUAUCACAUGGUGAGAUGGUCAAAGAUUUAUCGGCAUAAGAUGGG